AGUGGAUGGGGAGCAACCUAGUUGUGCGUGUGUAAAGGUAGUGCCAAGAAAAGCGAUGAUCAUGUUGAAAAUCAAUUCCCGGUACCCGAAACCGACACAGGUGGGCAAGUAGAGAAUACUAAGGGGCGCGAGGUAACUCUCUCCAAGGAACUCGGCAAAAUGACCCCGUAACUUAGGGAGAAGGGGUGCCACCGAGAGGUGGUCGCAGUGAAGAGGCCCAGGCGACUGUUUAGCAAAAACAUAGGUCUCUGCAAACUCGAAAGAGGAGGUAUAGGGGCUGACGCCUGCCCAGUGCCGGAAGGUUAAAGGAGUUGGUCAGUUUUAGGAUGAAGCUAGCGACUGAAGCCCCGGUGAACGGCGGCCGUAACUAUAACGGUCCUAAGGUAGCGAAAUUCCUUGUCGGGUAAGUUCCGACCCGCACGAAAGGCGUAACGAUCUGGGCGCUGUCUCGGAGAGAGGCUCGGCGAAAUAGGAUUGUCUGUGAAGAUACGGACUACCUGCAUUUGGACAGAAAGACCCUAUGAAGCUUUACUAUAGCUUGGAAUUGUGUUCGGGCUUCCUGUGCGCAGGAUAGGUGGGAGGCGUAGAAGGUAUUCUUGUGGGGAUACUGGAGCCAACGGUGAGAUACCACUCUCAGGAGGCUAGAAUUCUAACUUAAUUAAGGACAGUUUCAGGUGGGUAGUUUGACUGGGGCGGUCGCCUCCAAAAAGGUAACGGAGGCGUACAAAGGUUCCCUCAGACUGGUUGGAAAUCAGUCGAAGAGUGCAAAGGCAGAAGGGAGCUUGACUGCGAGAAGUACAGUUCGAGCAGGGUGGAAACACGGUCUUAGUGAUCCGACGGUGCUGUGUGGAAGGGCCGUCGCUCAACGGAUAAAAGUUACUCUAGGAUAACAGGCUGAUCUCCCCCAAGAGUUCACAUCGACGGGGAGGUUUGGCACCUCGAUGUCGGCUCAUCGCAACCUGGGGCGGAAGUACGUCCCAAGGGUUGGGCUGUUCGCCCAUUAAAGCGGUACGUGAGCUGGGUUCAGAACGUCGUGAGACAGUUCGGUCCAUAUCCGAUGUAGGCGUGAGAAUAUUGAGAGGAGCCUUCCUUAGUACGAGAGGACCGGGAAGGACGCACCGCUGGUGUACCUGUUAUGAUGCCAAUUGUAAACGCAGGGUAGCCAAGUGCGGAGAGGAUAACCGCUGAAAGCAUCUAAGUGGGAAGCCCACCUCAAGAUGAGUAUUCUGGUGUAAGGUCACGGGAAGACGACCCGUAAAUAGGCACGAGGUGGAAGUGCAGAGAUGUAUGAAGCCGAAGUGUACUAAUAGACCGUCGGCUUGACAG
rnacentral:rRNA from 1 species